rnacentral:rRNA from 1 species
CUGCACGUCAGCAAGCUUUUAGUGUUACUCAGAAAAUGACUGAGCGGCGAACGGGUGAGUAACGCGUGAGCAAUCUACCUUAGUUACAGGGAUAGCCCGAGGAAACUCGGAUAAUACCUGAUAUUCUUUUUAUCUCGCAUGAGAUUUUAAGGAAAGGUCAGCCGAACUAAGAUGAGCUCGCGUUCUAUCAGCUAGUUGGUGAGGUAAUAGCUCACCAAGGCUACGACGGAUAGCUUGGUCUGAGGGGACGAUCAGCCACACUGGGACUGAGACACGGCCCAGACUCCUACGGGAGGCUGCAGCAGGGAAUAUUGCGCAAUGAGCGAAAGCUUGACGCA